rnacentral:rRNA from 1 species
UAGGGAAUCUUCCACAAUGGGCGAAAGCCUGAUGGAGCAACGCCGCGUGAGCGAAGAAGGUCUUCGGAUCGUAAAGCUCUGUUGUAAGGGAAGAACAAGUGCAGUAGUAACUGGCUGCACCUUGACGGUACCUUACUAGAAAGCCACGGCUAACUACGUGCCAGCAGCCGCGGUAAUACGUAGGUGGCAAGCGUUGUCCGGAAUUAUUGGGCGUAAAGCGCGCGCAGGCGGUCUUUUAAGUCUGAUGUGAAAGCCCCCGGCUUAACCGGGGAGGGUCAUUGGAAACUGGGAGACUUGAGUGCAGAAGAGGAAAGUGGAAUUCCAAGUGUAGCGGUGAAAUGCGUAGAGAUUUGGAGGAACACCAGUGGCGAAGGCGACUUUCUGGUCUGUUACUGACGCUGAGGCGCGAAAGCGUGGGGAGCAAACA